rnacentral:tRNA from 1 species
GGGGAUAUGGCGGAAUUGGUAGACGCACUGGAUUUAGGUUCCCGCGCCGCAAGGUGUGAGAGUUCGAGUCUCUCCGUCCCCACCA